rnacentral:rRNA from 1 species
AAGGGGACCUUCGGGCCUUGCGCUAUCAGAUGAGCUAGGUCGGAUUAGCUAGUUGGUGAGGUAAUGGCUCACCAAGGCGACGAUCCGUAACUGGUCUGAGAGGAUGAUCAGUCACACUGGAACUGAGACACGGUCCAGACUCCUACGGGAGGCAGCAGUGGGGAAUAUUGGACAAUGGGCGAAAGCCUGAUCCAGCCAUGACCGCGUGUGUGAAGAAGGUCUUCGGAAUUAGUAAACGCACUUUAAGUUGGGAGGAAGGGUUGUAGAUUAAUACUCUGCAAUUUGACGUUACCGACAGAAUAAGCCACCGGCUAACUCUGUGCCAGCAGCCGCGGUAA